CUGCAGUCGAGCGGACAGAUGGGAGCUUGCUCCCUGAUGUUAGCGGCGGACGGGUGAGUAACACGUGGGUAACCUGCCUGUAAGACUGGGAUAACUCCGGGAAACCGGGGCUAAUACCGGAUGCUUGAUUGAACCGCAUGGUUCAAUUAUAAAAGGUGGCUUUUAGCUACCACUUACAGAUGGACCCGCGGCGCAUUAGCUAGUUGGUGAGGUAACGGCUCACCAAGGCAACGAUGCGUAGCCGACCUGAGAGGGUGAUCGGCCACACUGGGACUGAGACACGGCCCAGACUCCUACGGGAGGCAGCAGUAGGGA
rnacentral:rRNA from 2 species